GUUGAUUCUUAAGUGAAACAUUUACGCGUGCACGAAAAUGGAAAGAGAACGAAUGUGAAAUAUUUGUGCACGCACGAAAGAGGAGAGGGAGGAAGGGAGAGAGAGUGAAUGGGAGAGGAAGGUUCUUUCCAUGCGAUGUCUGCCCUAUUUCUGUUUCUUCUCCUGCGUGCAUCUUCGUGCAGUUAUGGCUGCUACUCUGGCACUAUUCCUUGGCGCUGCUCAUCAGAACUCUUCAUCUGUCGAAGCAAGGAUAGAGCUCUUCUUCUUCCUUCACUUGUUCUCAGGCAGUCUCUUCACUAAUCUGAGAAGCAACUUCGUUCUGUUCUGCAAAAGAUUGAAAUUCGGUGAUGGCAGUCGGUUAAUAAGAAAUGCAGCUGUAAGGAAGGCAAAAUCACAAUACUUGAGAGGAAGGCUAGUAUGAGCAAGCAAGGUGAGUCUAGUCUCUACUAUGUGAUGAUGUUUUCGCUCUACUCUUUCGUUUUGCUGAUGUGUGUGAGGACAUGAAAUGUGAUGAUCAAUCCCACAUGACUUUAAGUAUGUGAAUAAUGAUCUAAAUUCUCCUCUCCAA